rnacentral:rRNA from 1 species
CUCGUAGGCGGUUCGUCGCGUCCGGUGUGAAAGUCCAUCGCUUAACGGUGGAUCCGCGCCGGGUACGGGCGGGCUUGAGUGCGGUAGGGGAGACUGGAAUUCCCGGUGUAACGGUGGAAUGUGUAGAUAUCGGGAACAACACCAAUGGCGAAGGCAGGUCUCUGGGCCGUCACUGACGCUGAGGAGCGAAAGCGUGGGGAGCGAACA